rnacentral:tRNA from 1 species
GAUGCCAAGACGGUACCUACUCUCCUACCUGGGGACA